rnacentral:rRNA from 1 species
GACGAACGCUGGCGGCGUGCUUAACACAUGCAAGUCGAACGGAAAGGCCUCUUUCGGGGGGUACUCGAGUGGCGAACGGGUGAGUAACACGCGAGUAACCUGCCCUUGACUUUGGGAUAACUUCAGGAAACUGGGGCUAAUACCGCAUAGGAGCUCCUGCUGCAUGGUGGGGGUUGGAAAGUUUCGGCGGUUGGGGAUGGACUCGCGGCUUAUCAGCUUGUUGGUGGGGUAGUGGCUUACCAAGGCUUUGUCGGGUAGCCGGCCUGGGAGGGUGACCGGCCACAUUGGGACUGAGAUACGGCCCAGACUCCUACGGGGGGCAGCAGUGGGGAAUAUUGCACAAUGGGUGGGAGCCUGAUGCAGCAACGCCGUGUGCGGGAUGACGGCCUUCGGGUUGGAAACCGCUUUCGCUCAUGACGAAGCUUUGUGUGACGGUAGUGGGUAAAGAAGCACCGGCUAACUACGUG